rnacentral:rRNA from 1 species
UAGGGAAUCUUCGGCAAUGGGGGCAACCCUGACCGAGCAACGCCGCGUGAGUGAAGAAGGUUUUCGGAUCGUAAAGCUCUGUUGUAAGAGAAGAACGUGUGUGAGAGUGGAAAGUUCACACAGUGACGGUAACUUACCAGAAAGGGACGGCUAACUACGUGCCAGCAGCCACGGUAAUACGUAGGUCCCGAGCGUUGUCCGGAUUUAUUGGGCGUAAAGCGAGCGCAGGCGGUUUAAUAAGUCUGAAGUUAAAGGCAGUGGCUUAACCAUUGUUCGCUUUGGAAACUGUUAAACUUGAGUGCAGAAGGGGAGAGUGGAAUUCCAUGUGUAGCGGUGAAAUGCGUAGAUAUAUGGAGGAACACCGGUGGCGAAAGCGGCUCUCUGGUCUGUAACUGACGCUGAGGCUCGAAAGCGUGGGGAGCAAACAGG